AUAUUUUUAUCAGGUUUUUCUUAUUUUUUACAGUGUAAGAACCAAUUUAUACAGUUUGUGAAGAGAAGUUGAUUUAAGAGGCUCCACGGUCUUUGAAGGCAUUAUGACUAGUUAAAAUAGUCUAAGUGUGUGUGUGUGUGUGUGUGUGUGUUUGGGGGAUACAUCAGUGUCAUCUUCGGCUCCAGCUCCUCUCUGGACGUGGAGCCAUGAAACCUCUGACUCUGGAUCUGGAGCUGCAGAGCUGCAGUGUGGAGGAUUCAGCGGAAAUGAGGAGAAAUGAACUCUGGUCGACAGUCACAGACUAAUAUUCCUCCUCCAUCAUUCUCCAGGCCUCCUUCCCUUCCAGUGCAUUAAAAGCGCAUUAAAUAUCAUUAAACUAACGACCAUAUUCCUCUGAAAUUGCUCUAAUAAUCAUUUAACAUGAGACUUUUUCCUCUCUUUGACCGGAUAAUCGCUAUUUUCGGGGUUAUUUCCGCGCGCCGAGGCGCAGCGAGGGCUGGGGCCGGAGGGGGCGUGUGUUGGACGGACGGGGCGUGGAUGUGGGUUUCCCGUGGAGCACCGGGACCAGACCCCGCGGAGGACCAGCCGAACAUCCCGGCAUGCUGCUCUCCAGUCUGGGGACGUGAGGGUCCCUCAGUGAUGGAUGCGUGGCGCUCCGCCGUGACGCGCAGUGGGCAGGUUUGGCGCACAUCGCGCCUGUGGAUGAGAUGAUCCGGUUCGCGGCUGAACCAUGAAGUCCCUCGGCGUGCCAUGCGUCCUGCGCUCCGUCCUCCAUGGGAUGCAGUAGAUGGAGAGCUGCGCUCAACUUCGGACACCUGAAGGCGCAGUCCAGGCUGCCCGUCUUCCUCACCAUGAUCCUCCUCUUCACUUACCUCUGCUACUGCCUCAGCAGCCGCUGCGACGCGCUGCCCCGGCCGGUGUUCAGCAGCGGCGCUCCGGAGGGCGGGCGGCUCCUGGGCUCCGCGGUGCCGCUGCUCCGGCACCGGCUGGCGGACUCCGCCGGCGGAAUGCGGCCUCUCGACAACAUCUCCAUCUUCAAUAACUUCGGCAGCAAGAAGUUCCCGCAGGCCAUCAUCAUCGGGGUGAAGAAGGGCGGAACCCGGGCGCUGCUGGAGUUCCUGCGGGUCCACCCGGACGUCAGAGCCGUGGGCACUGAGCCGCACUUCUUCGACCGCUGCUACGACAAGGGGCUGGGCUGGUACAGGAGUUUAAUGCCUCGGACUCUGGAGGGUCAGAUCACCAUGGAAAAGACUCCAAGUUACUUCAUCACCAAAGAGGCUCCGCGGCGCGUCCACGCCUUGAGCCGCCACACCAAACUCAUCGUGGUGGUGCGAGACCCAGUGACCCGAGCCAUCUCUGAUUACACCCAGACACUGUCCAAAUCUCCUGGGCUUCCAUCGUUCCAGAACCUCGCCUUCCGCAACGACAGCGCGACGCUCAUCGACACUUCCUGGAGCGCCGUACGCAUCGGCAUCUACGCCAAGCACCUGGAGAACUGGCUGCGCUACUUUCCUCUGUCGCGCUUCCUGUUUGUAAGCGGGGAGCGGCUGGUGACGGACCCAGCGGGGGAGAUGGGCAGAGUCCAGGACUUUCUGGGCCUCAAACGCGUGGUGACGGACAAACACUUCUACUUCAACCAGACCAAAGGUUUCCCCUGCCUGAAGAAGCCUGAGGGCAGCAGCCGGCCGCGCUGCCUGGGGAAGUCGAAGGGCAGACCGCAUCCUCAGAUACCGACUGAGGUUCUGCUCAGGCUCAGAGACUUCUACAGACCCUUUAACCUCAAGUUCUACCAAAUGACCGGCCAAGACUUUGGCUGGAGCUGAACGCCAGCCCACCAAACAUCUUCCAUCUGUCAAUGCCAGCCUGGUUGUGAAGCUUUUCCACAGAGACCUUUAGGUCCUCAAGGUCCUUGCAGAAGUUAUUCUUAUGUCUUGAUUCCACUGAGCGGUACGAUACGGGUCAGCUUGGUUCGGUUCUGUAUUUUAUGCCCGGUGUAUUCACCGCCACUGGGCCGGCGGGGUUAGACCCAAACACCCAACCUGAUGUGUGUCUCUCUGAGUAUCGCAAACAGUGAUGUUUUUCUGUCGCCCAAUCAAAGGGCUGUGUUGUGUGACAUCAGCAGCUCUUCCCUAACCGGACCAGACCGGACCGGACCAAUGUCCUCUAGACCUACACCUGAAGCAGGUCCAGGAACGGUGCGGUACCGGUCAGUUGUUUGGGUUUCCCUUACAAUAGAAACAGACAGAACAGCACCGAUGAAAAAAAAUCAAUUCUCAUAAAAGUCCUGAUUCUCAUUUACUGCGAUUCAGAAUCAGCUUUAAAAAAUGAAAAUAAAUCCGACGUCUGUCCACCUCCAUGUUGUAACGUUCGGACGUCGCUAUGGAGACGGUACUGGAACAUACGCAUAAAGCACCAAAACAAAGAGAAAACGAUGAAAACAAAAGAGAGAGAUUCAACCGGCCCCAUCUUCCAUGAAAGAAAACAUUUGGACUCCGCUAAUGGUCGGAGCUACGACGUUCCCUCCAUUACAGUGCUAUGGGAGGCGGGCUGUGAUUGGUCAGACGGCUGUGGGUGGGGCUUAUGAAGAAACGUUAUUUUGUUUCCGCUAACCGGAAUGCUUAUCCAACUUGGGUCAUUUAUCUGGAGAAACCGUCACUUCCUCCUGUUUGUAUCGAUUUCAAACCGGUUCACGCUGCUGCUGCCAAAAACACGACCUACAUCUGCCGGGCAGAUGACUUGGCCCUGCGGAGCAGCAGGAUGACAACGACUUUAAUCUCUUCUGUAGAAGUUGACAGCAUGUUUACUGAAACGUUCCUGAAGCGUGGCGUUAAUCUCCUGACAGGAACUCUGAAACGGAGGCUGGACAGCAGAAGCCGCC